rnacentral:rRNA from 1 species
UACGUAGGGCGCAAGCGUUAUCCGGAAUUAUUGGGCGUAAAGAGCUCGUAGGCGGUUCGGUAAGUCAGGUGUGAAACCUCCAGGCUCAACCUGGAGACGCCACUUGAUACUGCUGUGACUGGAGUCCGGUAGGGGAGCGUGGAAUUCCUGGUGUAGCGGUGAAAUGCGCAGAUAUCAGGAGGAACACCGGUGGCGAAGGCGGGUCUCUGGGCCGUAACUGACGCUGAGGAGCGAAAGCGUGGGGAGCGAACAGG